CUCAGAUAGAUGAGGGCUUUCUCUGCCAUUGCAGGCUGAGACUUCUCGGGGCUGCUGGAUGGAGGCGCGGGCUGGCAGGAGCGGGAGCCCAGAAGCCAAAGCGGUGGCCUUGAACUCCAGGCCAAGAUGCGCAUCUACCAGCGUCGUCUCCCCUCCUCCCUCUACUUCCUCCCAGGCACGCCAGCUGCGGGGCUUUCAAACCGCGCCCUCUUCCUGCUUGAGGAGCUCAAGGUGAGCCUUGGGCCUGAUGGCUGCACGGAAAACCUCUCUACAUGUCAGCAGAGCUCAAAGCCAAGAGGUGGGACGCUUGCCAGGGAACACAGGGGCCAUGCUGCUGUUUGUGCAGGCUUUGUAGUCAAGCAAGGAGACCCGACAAGUAUGCAGGCAUCUCCCGGAAAGGGAGCUCAGCACAUCUGGGCGGGUGGUACCCGGAGCUGGGCUGGUGUUGUGUUCAGGAUAAGAUUUAACUACAGAUCUAGAGUUGCUGACCAGAGAUCUGACCUUGGAGUAGAGACAAUGAACUGUGAUUUAAGAAAACAAAAACCGGAAAAACAAUAAAACCAAUGGAAGUGAACGUGACUUGCCCUGACAUAGAAAGACACAUUAUUGAAGUGUUGUUCUUGGACACGCAGUAAAUGAACUUCCAAUUUGCUAAUGAUUACAAGAUAUGUAUCUAGGAAUAUUACAAAUUACAUGAAUUUCUCAUGGACAAUUCUACGGAAUAAAGGAGCAAAAUGCUAACGCUCAAUGUGGGACUCAGAGUUAGCAAUGCUAAUAUAGGAUUUUAAUGAUCUUUCAUAAAAUCUUAUGACACUUAGAUUAGUAGCUUCCAAACUCAGGAGAAGUUAGUAUAUUUUAAGAUUAUAUUAACAAUUUCCUGGUAGAACAACCAUCUGAUUUGUAUUUUCUCCUUUGAGCUUUUUGUCAUUAAAUAGCUGUCUGGCUGGAGUUAACAGCUUCUGAUAGAAUAGGAGGCUAGAUUUUAUAAGGAGAACAAUUUAUUAAAUUUGCAUGACUAUUGAUCAAUAUGAGAAACAUAUCUAUCGUUUAAUAGCAUUCACUUUAAGAGGGAACAAGUUUGGCCAUUUAUAUUACAUUUUCAAAUGUUUUAUUUCACUGUUUUCAUAAAACAUUAAUUUCAAAGCA
rnacentral:lncRNA from 1 species